AAUGGGGGAUAACGUAGCGAAAGUUACGCUAAUACCGCAUAUGCCCUGAGGGGGAAAGGUGGGGAUCGCAAGACCUAUCGUUUUCGGAGUGGCCGAUAUCAGAUUAGCUAGUUGGUGGGGUAAAGGCCCACCAAGGCGACGAUCUGUAGCGGGUCUGAGAGGAUGAUCCGCCACACUGGGACUGAGACACGGCCCAGACUCCUACGGGAGGCAGCAGUGGGGAAUUUUGGACAAUGGGGGCAACCCUGAUCCAGCCAUGCCGCGUGAGUGAAGAAGGCCUUCGGGUUGUAAAGCUCUCUCAGCCGGAAAGAAAUCGCGCAGGCUAAUAUCCUGUGUGGAUGACGGUACCGGAAGAAGAAGCACCGGCUAACUACGUGCCAGCAGCCGCGGUAAUACGUAGGGUGCGAGCGUUAAUCGGAAUUACUGGGCGUAAAGCGUGCGUAGGCGGUUUUGUAAGACAGGCGUGAAAUCCCCGGGCUUAACCUGGGAACUGCGUUUGUGACUGCAAGGCUAGAGUGUGGCAGAGGGGGGUAGAAUUCCG
rnacentral:rRNA from 1 species